rfam:Dengue virus type 1 strain FGA/NA d1d, complete genome.
CGGGGCCCAACACCAGGGGAAGCUGUACCUUGGUGGUAAGGACUAGAGGUUAGAGGAGACCCCCCGCACAAC